AACAGAGUGUAGCUUAAUAAAAGCCUUUCGUUUACACCGAAAUUAUAUCUGAUAAAACCAGAUCACUCU
rnacentral:tRNA from 1 species